rnacentral:rRNA from 1 species
AAUGAACGCUGGCGGCGCGCUUAACACAUGCAAGUCGAGCGAGAAUCGGGCCUUCGGGCCUGGGGACAGCGGCGAACGGGUGAGUAACACGUGGGUAACCUGCCCUCGACACCGGGAUAGCUCGGGGAAACCCGGAUUAAUACCGGACAGCCUCCGGAGCCUUCGGGCGCCGGAGAAAAGGUGGCUUCGGCUUCCGGUCGAGGAUGGGCCUGCGGCGGAUUAGCUUGUUGGCGGGGUAACGGCCCACCAAGGCGACGAUCCGUAGCUGGUCUGAGAGGACGAUCAGCCACACUGGGACGGAGACACGGCCCAGACUCCUACGGGAGGCAGCAGUGGGGAAUCGUGCGCAAUGGGCGAAAGCCUGACGCAGCGACGCCGCGUGCGGGAAGAAGGCCUUCGGGUUGUAAACCGCUUUCAGGAGGGACGAAGCCACUCGGGUUAAUAGCCCAGAGGGUGACGGUACCUCCAGAAGAAGCCCCGGCUAACUACGUGCCAGCAGCAGCCGCCGUAA